rnacentral:rRNA from 1 species
CCUACGGGUGGCAGCAGUGGGGAAUAUUGGACAAUGGGGGCAAGCCUGACCCAGCAAUGCCGCGUGAAGGAAGAAGGCUUUCGGGAUGUAAACUUCUUUGACAGGGGAAGAGCAGAAGACGGUACCCUGAAAACAAGCCACGGCUAACUACGGGCCAGCAGCCGCGGUAAUACGUAGGUGGCAAGCGUUGUCCGGAUUUACUGGGUGUAAAGGGCGUGUAGCCGGGAAGGCAAGUCAGAUGUGAAAUCUGGAGGCUCAACCUCCAAAUUGCAUUUGAAACUGUUUUUCUUGAGUGCUGGAGAGGCAGACGGAAUUCCUUGUGUAGCGGUGAAAUGCGUAGAUAUAAGGAGGAACACCAGUGGCGAAGGCGGUCUGCUGGACAGCAACUGACGGUGAGGCGCGAAAGCGUGGGGAGCAAACAGGAUUAGAUACCCUAGUAGUC